AGGAAGAACAGACAAACGUAAGCACUGCUAACCCUUACACCCCGCGGUUAAAGUCCGCGGAUUCCUU
rnacentral:tRNA from 1 species